rnacentral:tRNA from 9 species
GCCCAGGUAGCUCAGUCGGUAGAGCAGAGGAUUGAAAAUCCUCGUGUCGGUGGUUCGAUUCCGCCCCUGGGCACCA